rnacentral:rRNA from 1 species
AGUGAACGCUGGCGGUAGGCCUAACACAUGCAAGUCGAACGGCAGCACAGUAAGAGCUUGCUCUUACGGGUGGCGAGUGGCGGACGGGUGAGGAAUACAUCGGAAUCUACUUUUUCGUGGGGGAUAACGUAGGGAAACUUACGCUGAUACCGCAUACGACCUACGGGUGAAAGCAGGGGAUCUUCGGACCUUGCGCGAUUGAAUGAGCCGAUGUCGGAUUAGCUAGUUGGCGGGGUAAAGGCCCACCAAGGCGACGAUCCGUAGCUGGUCUGAGAGGAUGAUCAGCCACACUGGAACUGAGACACGGUCCAGACUCCUACGGGAGGCAGCAGUGGGGAAUAUUGGACAAUGGGCGCAAGCCUGAUCCAGCCAUACCGCGGGGGUGAAGAAGGCCUUCGGGUUGUAAAGCCCUUUUGUUGGGAAAGAAAAGCAGCAGGUUAAUACCCCGCUGUUCUGACGGUACCCAAAGAAUAAGCACCGGCUAACUUCGUG